UGAUCAAGUGGCGAGAUUUGCUU
rnacentral:piRNA from 1 species